rnacentral:rRNA from 1 species
UACGAAGGGGACUAGCGUUGUUCGGAAUCACUGGGCGUAAAGCGCACGUAGGCGGAUAUUUAAGUCAGGGGUGAAAUCCCAGAGCUCAACUCUGGAACUGCCUUUGAUACUGGGUAUCUUGAGUAUGGAAGAGGUAAGUGGAAUUGCGAGUGUAGAGGUGAAAAUUCGUAGAUAUUCGCAGGAACACCAGUGGCGAAGGCGGCUUACUGGUCCAUAACUGACGCUGAGGUGCGAAAGCGUGGGGAGCAAACAGG